rnacentral:rRNA from 1 species
UACAGAGGUCUCAACCGUUGUUCGGAUUCAUUGGGCGUAAAGGGUGCGUAGGCGGUCGCGCAAGUCGGAUGUGAAAUCUCAGGGCUCAACCCUGAAACUGCAUUCGAUACUGCGUGGCUAGAGUGCUGGAGGGGAGACUGGAAUUUACGGUGUAGCAGUGAAAUGCGUAGAUAUCGUAAGGAAGACCAGUGGCGAAGGCGACCCGCUGGGUCACACCUGACACUGAGACGCGACAGCAUGGGGAGCGAACGGG